GCCUUCGCGGUAUAACGGUAGCACAGUCGACUCGAAUUCGAGAGGUUCAGGUUCGAGUCCCGGCGAUGGCA
rnacentral:tRNA from 1 species